GUGACCUCAAAUCAGGUAGGACUACCCGCUGAACUUAAGCAUAUCAAUAAGCGGAGGAAAAGAAACUAACAAGGAUUCCCCUAGUAACUGCGAGUGAAGCGGGAAAAGCUCAAAUUUAAAAUCUGGCGGUCUUUUGGCUGUCCGAGUUGUAAUCUAGAGAAGUGUUAUCCGCGCUGGACCGUGUACAAGUCUCCUGGAAUGGAGCAUCAUAGAGGGUGAGAAUCCCGUCUUUGACAUGGACUGCCAGGGCUUUGUGAUGCGCUCUCAAAGAGUCGAGUUGUUUGGGAAUGCAGCUCAAAAUGGGUGGUAAAUUCCAUCUAAAGCUAAAUAUUGGCGAGAGACCGAUAGCGAACAAGUACCGUGAGGGAAAGAUGAAAAGAACUUUGGAAAGAGAGUUAAACAGUACGUGAAAUUGCUGAAAGGGAAACGCUUGAAGUCAGUCGCGUCGUCCAGGGAUCAACCUUGCUUUUGCUUGGUGCACUUUCUGGUUCGAUGGGUCAGCAUCAAUUUUGACUGUUGGAAAAAGGUUGAGGGAAUGUGGCAUCUUUGGAUGUGUUUAUAGCCCUUGGUCACAUACAAUGGUUGGGAUUGAGGAACUCAGCACGCCGCAAGGCCGGGUUUUAAACCACGUACGUGCUUAGGAUGCUGCAA
rnacentral:rRNA from 1 species